CCUCGCCUCGCCCCCUUCUUUUUCUUCAAAGCCUGAAGCCACCGUGUAGCGCAUGUCCUCGAUCCCGCGGCCACCAGGUUCCCCGUUGAAAAGGAGCAGGUCCGGGAGCACCACUGCAUCGUCCUGUUCGUCUACACCAACUCGCGUGAGCAGGAGCACCCUCGAGCCGUCGACAUCAGCGUCCUUCCCCGACUGCAUCCUCCGGUCACCGUCACUAGAUCCGCACUACUCAGACCAUCUCCGGCCUCAUAGUCCCCUACUCUGCAGUUGUGGUGAGCUGAUGUACCAAUUCCCUUUUGUCUUGACCUCGAUUCAUGUUGUAUGCCCCCGUCCUACACCAUGGCCGGAGCUCGAGCUCCCGUGCGUGCCCGCGCUGAUGCUGCUCUUCGACCGCUGCUACUCACUGCGCAUGCGCCCCGUCGCGCGUGCCCCGCCCCUCGCCUUACCUUCACGUACCGCGACGCGCCCGCAACCGCCUUGCCCACGCUCAGCUUCAGCCGCUACUGCCCGUUGGUGCUCUGCGCUACUGUGCCUGUUGCUACUGAACUGCUGCCAUCGCUCGCACGAAGCUGCUGCUGCAUCCACCGCGUCGUGCCACCCGCUAUCGCGCGCUCCUAUGCUCGCCUGCGCUGCUCGCUGCUCAUGCCCUCGCCUCCCUCGCAUCCGCUCCGCCUCUGCCAGCCCCGCCGCGACCCGCCGUUGCUGCUGGCCCGGCCGCCGCACGCCGUGCGUGUGUGCGUGCUGUGUGUUUGGUGUGUGCAUUGUAGCGCGUACUAGCUAGCUUUUGCUAAUCUACACUAGAUGCCAAUUUGUACAACAACAAAACAACAAAAAAAAACUUUUCCCAAUGUGGGUAAAAAUUAUAUGGAUAUGUAGUACACUUGACAAGAUUCAAAACAUUUCAUUGGACCAAAUUCAAAAGGUGUGAGGUUUAAAUGCUAUGAAAAUGACAAAAGUCCAAGUUCUGUUAAGUGAAAGACUGAAAACAGCUUUAUUUUCAUGGCUACUUUAGAGCUAUUGAUGAUCACGCUAAUGAGCUCUAAUAUGGAUAAAAGUGAUACUAACAUGUAGAUCGCAGAAAAAUGCUCACAAUUGAUAUAAGGCACAAAAUCAUAGGAUGUACAUAUCAAUAGCAAUAGCCUCCAAAAAACGGCUAAGUGGUGUUUAAAACUGAGCGCUUCUCAGACUUGGUAGAAUUUCAGAGAUUUUCAGCAAACUUUGGAAAUUCAUAGGAAUUCAACCGUAGCCUGGAUCGAAAACUUUCUGCAUGAAAGUUUCUCAGAAAAAUGAGAGCAUUCGAAUGCGCGGUCCGUUUGUCAGCCACACGUCCCUAGCAUAGCGAACGUGCAACAUUUCACCUCUGGUUCAUCUGUCCGAAAACGCGAAACACCGAGAAUAAUUUCCAGGAUGUUUCCCCCCUUCGCCGGUAUCACCUACUACCGCGUUGGGGCACACCUAGCACCGCGUAUUGCCAUGUUAUGCUUUGUGUUGCUUUGAUUGCUCUAUUAUUUAUGUGUGUUCCCCCUCCGUUACUUCUUUUCGGUAGACCUCGAGACCGCCACCGAUACCCCCGUGAUCGACUACAUCGACGACGACCCCUCCUUGCCAGAGCAACUAGGUAAGCCCCCCCCCUUGAUCACCCGAUAUCGCCUACUCCUUCUCUCUACAGCUUGCAUUAGAGUAGUGUAGCAUGUUACUGCUUUUGGUUAAUCCUAUUCUGCUACAUAGCCUGUCAUUGUUGCUACAACUGUUGAUACCUUAUCUGCAAUCCUAAAUGCUUGGUAUAGGAUGCUAGUUUACCAUCAGUGGCCUACAUUCUUGUUCGUCUGCCAUGCUAUACUAUCGGGCCGUGAUCACUCGGGGGGUGAUCACGGGUAUAUACUAUACAUACAUACAUACGUACAUACAUACAUACAUACAUACAUACAUAGAUGGUGACUAAAGUUGGGUCAACUCAUAGAGUACCCGCAAGUGAUUUAGUUAUGGGGGUUGAAUGGACAGGUGGUUCCACCCAGGUAGUGGUGGACCUGGGUUCCCGACAGCCCCCGAGUGCUACUUGUGGCAGAGCGACAGGGCAGGUUGUGACCACCUAGGAGACAGGUGGGCCUGGCCCUGGUCGGUGUCCGCGGUUACUUCAAAAUAACAUGCUUAAUGAGAUCUUGGUAUUUGAUCUAAAUCUGGCCACUGGCCUAUAUGCACUAACCAACUACGCGGGAACAGUUAUGGGCACUCGACGUCGUGGUAUCAGCCGAAGCCUUCUUGAUGUCAGCGACUGAGCGGCGCGCGCCGAGUUGGACUGGAAUGCCUGCCCUUGUAUAAGGGAGGCUAGGUCUGCUCACCGGUCGCGUUCGCAACGUGCAGGUGUGCAAUGGGCAAUGGGCCCAGACCCCUGCGCGCAUAGGAUUUAGACCGGUGUGCUGACCUCUCUGUUGUGCCUAGGUAGGGCGGCGACGUAUUGAUCUUCCGAGGCCGGGCAUGACCCAAGAAAGUGUUUCCGGCCGGAGGGAUCGAGCGUGUUGGGAAAUGUGGUGCACCCCUGCAUGGAAGUUUAUCUAUCUUUAUAGUUGUGUCCCUCGGUAAAAGGACGACCUGGAGUUGUACCUCGACCUUAUGACAACUAGAACCAGAUACUUAAUAAAACACACUCAGACAAGUUCCAGAGACAAGCCGGUGAUCGCUUUCCUAUAGGGCGACGAGGGGAGGAUCGUCGGGUAGGAUUAUGCUAUGUGAUGAUACUUGGUGAGCUUACCAUCUAUUCUCUUCUACAUGCUGCAAGAUGGAGGCUAACAGAAGCGUAGUCUUCGAUAGGACUAGCUAUCCCCAUCAUAUUCUGGCAUUCUGCAGUUGAAUCCACCGAUAUUGCCUCUUUACAUAUAUACCCAUGCAUAUAUAGUGUAGAUUAUUGCUUGCGAGUACUUUUGAUGAGUACUCACGGUUGCUUUGCUCCCUCUUUUCCCCCUUCUCUUCUUCCCGGACAUCGCAACCAGAUGUUGGAGCCCAGGAGCCAGACGCCACUGUCAACGACGACCCCUACUACACUAAGGGUGCCUACUACUAUGUUCAGGCCGCUGACGACCAGGAGUAGUUUAGGAGGAUCCCAGGCAGGAGGCAUGCGCCUCUUUCGAUUUGUAUCCCAGUUUGUGUUAGCCAUCUUAUGGCACCUUGUUUAACUUUAUGUCUAUACUCAGAUAUUGUUGCUUCCGUUGACUCGUUUAUGUUCAAGCACUUGUAUUUGAGCCCUCGAGGCCCUUGGCUUGUAAUAUGAUGCUUGCAUGACUUAUUUUACUUUUAGAGUUGUAUUGUGAUAUCUUCCCGUGAGUCCCUGAUCUUG
rnacentral:lncRNA from 1 species